GAAUAGUGGCAGACGGGUGAGUAACGCGUAGGAAUCUACCCUUUGGCGGGGAACAACUUAUCGAAAGAUGGGCUAAUACCGCAUAAGUCCGCAAGGAGAAAGACCAUAACUGGUCACCGAAGGAGGAGCCUGCGUCCUAUCAGCUUGUGGUUAGUAUUGGUUCACCAGGCUAGACGGUAGGGGAUUGAAGCAUGAUCCCCCACAAGUUACUGAGACACGGACUACACUACGGUGCAGCAUCGGAUAUGCGCCAUGACGAAGUCUGACGCAGCGACGGCGCGUGCGGGAUGAGGCUCGGUCGUAACCGCUGUGGAGGGGGAAGAAUUUUGACGGUACCCCUCUAGAAAGCACCUGCUAACUACGUGCCAGAAGCCUCGGUAAUACGUAGGGUGCAAGCGUAUCCGGAUUUACUGGGCGUAAAGAGUUCGUAGGCGGCAUGGUAAGUGGUAGGUUAAAUCUCCCGGCUCAACUGGGAAGCGGCUUAUCAAACUGCCAAGCUAGAAUCGGUUCGGGGAUACUGGAAUUGAUGGUGGAGGGGUGAAAUCCGUUGAUAUCAUCAAGAACGCCAAAGGCGAAGGCAAGUAUCUUGGACCGCAUUGACGCUCAUGAACGAAAGCUAGGGUAGCAAACUGGAUUAGAGACCCAGGUAGUCCUAGCUGUAAAUGAUGAACACUAGCUGGUCGAUAAAUUAUUUUGGCCGGCGUAAGCUAACGCGUUAAGUGUUCCGCCUGGGGAGUACGGCCGCAAGGUUAAAACUCAAAGGAAUUGACGGGGAAACGCACAACCAGCGUCCCAUGUGGUUUAAUUCGAAACGAAACGAAGAACCUUACCUGGCCUUGACAUCCCGAUCGUAUCUCUGGGAAACCAGAGAGUCAGUUCGCUGGAUCGGUGACAGCUGCUGCAUGGUUGUCGUCGUUUCUGUCGUGAGGCGUCCUUUUAAGUAAGGUAACGAACGCAACCCCUACCGUAUGUUAAAUAUUCAUGCGGAACUGCCCUGGUACCACCAGGGAGGAAGGAGGGGACGACGUCAAAUCAGCAUGGCGCUUACGGUCAGGGCUACACACAUGGGGUAAUGGCAAGUACAACGGGUUGCGACAGGGUAACCUUGAGCUAAUCCUUUAAAGCUUGCCUCAGUUCGGAUUGUGGGCUGCAAUUCGCCCACAUGAAGGGGAGUUGGUAGUAAUCGCAGGUUAGCUAUACUGCGGUGAAUACGUUCUCGUUUCUUGUACUCACCGCCCGUC
rnacentral:rRNA from 1 species